rnacentral:rRNA from 1 species
GGGCACCUACGGGAGGCAGCAGUGGGGGAUAUUGCACAAUGGGGGAAACCCUGAUGCAGCGACGCCGCGUGAGCGAUGAAGUAUUUCGGUAUGUAAAGCUCUAUCAGCAGGGAAGAAAAUGACGGUACCUGACUAAGAAGCCCCGGCUAACUACGUGCCAGCAGCCGCGGUAAUACGUAGGGGGCAAGCGUUAUCCGGAUUUACUGGGUGUAAAGGGAGCGUAGACGGUGUGGCAAGUCUGAAGUGAAAGCCCGGGGCUCAACCCCGGGACUGCUUUGGAAACUGUCAUGCUGGAGUGCUGGAGG